GGUGUUUGCAGUAGACUGGAGUCCUGAUGGUCAACGCGUGGUCAGUGGUGGAAAAGACAAAGUUUUGAAAAUAUGGCGAGCUUAAAUCUGUAAUGUGAGGAAACAAAGUCUGAUUUCCAGAGAACUAGAAUGAUUGACAAGACAGAGAAUUUCAUCUCUUGUGUAUGUGUGUGUGUGUGCAUGUGUUUUGGGGGGGGGGGGGGAGGUAAUCAUUACAAAAGCCAUGUUGAUGUAAAGUUAUGAAAUUAAAAUUUUACAACAUAAA
rnacentral:sRNA from 1 species